rnacentral:rRNA from 1 species
CCUACGGGUGGCAGCAGUGGGGAAUAUUGCACAAUGGGGGAAACCCUGAUGCAGCGACGCCGCGUGAGUGAAGAAGUAAUUCGUUAUGUAAAGCUCUAUCAGCAGGGAAGAAAAUGACGGUACCUGAGUAAGAAGCCCCGGCUAACUACGUGCCAGCAGCCGCGGUAAUACGUAGGGGGCAAGGGUUAUCCGGAUUUACUGGGGGGAAAGGGAGCGUAGACGGCAGUGCAAGUCUGGAGUGAAAGGCGGGGGCUCAACCCCCGGACUGCUCUGGAAACUGUACGGCUGGAGUGCAGGAGAGGUAAGUGGAAUUCCUAGUGGAGCGGUGAAAUGCGUAGAUAUUAGGAGGAACACCAGUGGCGAAGGCGGCUUACUGGACUGUAACUGACGUUGAGGCUCGAAAGCGUGGGGAGCAAACAGGAUUAGAUACCCGAGUAGUC